rnacentral:rRNA from 1 species
AACGAACGCUGGCGGCAUGCCUAACACAUGCAAGUCGAACGAGAUCUUCGGGUCUAGUGGCGCACGGGUGCGUAACGCGUGGGAAUCUGCCCUUUGGUUCGGAAUAACAGUUGGAAACGACUGCUAAUACCGGAUGAUGACGAAAGUCCAAAGAUUUAUCGCCAGAGGAUGAGCCCGCGUAGGAUUAGCUAGUUGGUGUGGUAAAGGCGAACCAAGGCGACGAUCCUUAGCUGGUCUGAGAGGAUGAGCAGCCACACUGGGACUGAGACACGGCCCAGACUCCUACGGGAGGCAGCAGUGGGGAAUAUUGGACAAUGGGCGAAAGCCUGAUCCAGCAAUGCCGCGUGAGUGAUGAAGGCCUUAGGGUUGUAAAGCUCUUUUACCCGGGAUGAUAAUGACAGUACCGGGAGAAUAAGCUCCGGCUAACUCCGUGCCAGCAGCCGCGGUAA